UACGGAGGAUCCAAGCGUUAUCCGGAUUUAUUGGGUUUAAAGGGUGCGUAGGCGGAUUGAUAAGUUAGAGGUGAAAUGUCCGAGCUUAACUCGGGAACUGCCUCUAAUACUGUUGAUCUAGAGAGUAGAUGCGGUAGGCGGAAUGUAUGGUGUAGCGGUGAAAUGCUUAGAGAUCAUACAGAGCACCGAUUGCGAAGGCAGCUUACCAAUCUAUAUCUGACGUUGAGGCACGAAAGCGUGGGGAGCAAACAGG
rnacentral:rRNA from 1 species